UUUACCGUGAGGUAUGCAGUGAAGGCAGCGAAACGGCAAAAGUCUGUACCGACCCUUCGGCUACGCUCAGGAUAAACCAAGCAGAAAUUGCAUAAGAGGCAUUUAAUAGGGGAUAAGCGUCCACAGCAACGUAAAGUCCAAAGUUUACAAAGACCUAUUAGAUGUAGAUGCAGCGGGAAUAGACGCAAGGAAGAAGGGC
rnacentral:ncRNA from 1 species